rnacentral:rRNA from 1 species
AGAGUUUGAUCCUGGCUCAGGAUGAACGCUAGCGGCAGGCUUAACACAUGCAAGUCGAGGGGUAUAGAGAGCUUGCUUUCUAGAGACCGGCGCACGGGUGCGUAACGCGUAUGCAAUCUACCUUUUACAGAGGGAUAGCCCAGAGAAAUUUGGAUUAAUACCUCAUAGCAUAGCAGCUUCGCAUGAAGCCACUAUUAAAGUCACAACGGUAAAAGAUGAGCAUGCGUCCCAUUAGUUAGUUGGUAAGGUAACGGCUUACCAAGACUACGAUGGGUAGGGGUCCUGAGAGGGAGAUCCCCCACACUGGUACUGAGACACGGACCAGACUCCUACGGGAGGCAGCAGUGAGGAAUAUUGGACAAUGGGCGCAAGCCUGAUCCAGCCAUGCCGCGUGCAGGAUGACGGUCCUAUGGAUUGUAAACUGCUUUUAUACGAGAAGAAACACUCCUUCGUGAAGGAGCUUGACGGUAUCGUAAGAAUAAGGAUCGGCUAACUCCGUGCCAGCAGCCGCGGUAAUACGGAGGAUCCAAGCGUUAUCCGGAAUCAUUGGGUUUAAAGGGUCCGUAGGCGGUUUAGUAAGUCAGUGGUGAAAGCCCAUCGCUCAGCGGUGGAACGGCCAUUGAUACUGCUAAACUUGAAUUAUUAGGAAGUAACUAGAAUAUGUAGUGUAGCGGUGAAAUGCUUAGAGAUUACAUGGAAUACCAAUUGCGAAGGCAGGUUACUACUAAUGGAUUGACGCUGAUGGACGAAAGCGUGGGUAGCGAACAGGAUUAGAUACCCCUGGUAGUCCACGCCGUAAACGAUGGAUACUAGCUGUCCGGACUUCGGUCUGGGUGGCUAAGCGAAAGUGAUAAGUUCCCCCCUGGA